rnacentral:rRNA from 1 species
UAAUCGGAAUUACUGGGCGUAAAGCGCGCGUAUGUGGUUUGUUAAGUUGGAUGUGAAAUCCCCGGGCUCAACCUGGGAACUGCAUCCAAAACUGGCAAGCUAAGUAGGCAAGGGUGGUGGAAUUUCCUGUGUACGGUGAAAUGCGUAGAUAUAGGAAGGAACACCAGUGGCGAAGGCGACCACCUGGGCUCAUACUGACACUGAGGUGCGAAAGCGUGGGGAGCAAACAGGAUUAAUACCCUGGUAGUCAAGGGCG